rnacentral:rRNA from 1 species
GCAAGUCGAACGGUAACAGAACUAGCUUGCUAGUUGCUGACGAGUGGCGGACGGGUGAGUAAUACUUAGGGAUCUGCCUCUGUGUGGGGUUAACUAUUGGAAACGAUAGCUAAUACCGCAUAAUGUCUACGGACCAAAGAGGGCUUUGGCUCUCGCGCAGAGAGGAACCUAAGCGAGAUUAGCUUGUUGGUGAGGUAAAGGCUCACCAAGGCGACGAUCCCUAGCUGGUCUGAGAGGAUGAUC